rnacentral:misc_RNA from 1 species
AAGGAUCAUUAAGAGAUAAGGAGAGUAUUUAUAUCCACUAAUUUUUUUUUCUUUACGGGCUUACUCGGCAAGCCGAGUAACUUCGUAAGGAGAGUAACAUUAGAAACAUUUAUUCAACAAUUACAAACAUGAUAAAUUACAUGAGCACCUUGCUGCAAUGGAUCUCUCGGCUCUU